rnacentral:lncRNA from 1 species
UCCAAAAUUAUUACAAAUAACCCAUUGUGAUAUCAAGAAGCUGCUCUAUGAAGUCCUAUCGACUCUCUCAAGGUAGCUGCUUUCAUGAGAAUCUGUAUGAUACAUCCCCGAAAAGCUUUUAAGCAAUCCAAUUCUGGUAUUGAAUAUCCAACUUUCAUUCAUUGUCAGACAUAUGUGUUUUCAAGUGUUUCACAAAGUUUUCUGGUAUAGUUAAAAAAGAAUUCAGUUCAAACAUGUAUUCCUUAGUGCACAUAUAUAUAUCUAUACGAUAUAACACGAAAUAUCAAGUUCAUGAACUAUUUAGCAGUAUAUUGGAGCAUCCAAUAUUGGAACAAAAAAAUAAAUAACAACAGGGACAAAGCGAUAAUACUUUGCAGAAGAAUAAAACUAUCAGCACAACAUGUGAUGAAUGUUAUUUGGACAAACACACCAUGAAAAACUAUUCAUAGUUCGAUAAUGUGAAAUAAAAUGCGAAAAUUAUACCUCUUACCGUUAAAAAAGUGUUACUCCUUUCCCUCUUGAGUACCUAUGCUUUCUUCAAAAAUCUGUCCAUCAAAAUUGCAAGGUUAUUAUAUUCCAACUAAAUGAAAUUGAAUGCAUUAAAUUUAAGCAAUUACAACCACACAUCCAGAUUAAAUCUUUGAGGAAAGAAGAACGUGAAUUCAAAUGUCCUUUUGUGAAAAAUCAAAUCUUGUUUUGUGUGAUUAUGUCACGCCAACUAUAAAACUCAAAACUCCUCACCAUCUCCAUAAUUCCUCAAAUAUUUAUCUC